AUUGAACGCUGGCGGCAGGCCUAACACAUGCAAGUCGAGCGAGCGGCGGACGGGUGAGUAAUGUAUGGGGACUGCCCGAUCGAGGGGGAUAACUACUGGAAACGGUGGCUAAUACCGCAUACUCUCGGCUCACCCAUAUGGGAUUAGCUAGUAGGUGGGGUAAAGUCGCACCUAGGCGACGAUCCCUAGCUGGUCUGAGAGGGUGAUCAGCGACAAUGGGACUGAGACACGGCCCAGACUCCUACGGAGGCAGCAGUGGGGAAGAUUGCACAAUGGGCGCAAGCCUGAUGCAGCCAUGCCGCGUGUAUGAAGAAGGCCUUAGGGUUGUAAAGUACUUUCAGCAGGGAGGCGUUACCCGAAGAAGAAGCACCGGCUAACUCCGUGCCAGCAGCCGCGGUAAUAC
rnacentral:rRNA from 1 species